rnacentral:rRNA from 1 species
GACGAACGCUGGCGGCGUGCCUAAUACAUGCAAGUCGAGCGAGCGGAACCAACAGAUUUACUUCGGUAAUGACGUUGGGAAAGCGAGCGGCGGAUGGGUGAGUAACACGUGGGGAACCUGCCCCUAAGUCUGGGAUACCAUUUGGUAAACUAGGUGCUAAUACCGGAUAAUAGAGCAGAUCGCAUGAUCAGCUUUUGAAAGGCGGCGUAAGCUGUCGCUAAGGGAUGGCCCCGCGGUGCAUUAGCUAGUUGGUAAGGUAACGGCUUACCAAGGCGACGAUGCAUAGCCGAGUUGAGAGACUGAUCGGCCACAUUGGGACUGAGACACGGCCCAA